GAAAGCCACAGCCCAUGCAUAGUGGACGUGUGUUGUAAUCCUGCUUGGAUCAGUCUUAGACAGUGUUUCUCUGCUGGCCCAGUGUGUGAACCCUGGGUUGGUGCCCUGUUCCAGAUGGGAAGGCACGAUCAGAAAGGUUUGCCUCAGGACUCACUUUGCCACGCAUCAAGUCUCUGCGCCUCAUGUUCCCUGAUACUACAGAAGGACAUACCUGGACAGAGAGAAACUAAAUAACCUUCCCAUGAUUGUUGAAUGAGGUGUAGAAAAAUCUGGAAAGAGCAUUUUCUGCCUUGGCCUCUUCUUUGCUCCUUUACCUCCUCAGCUGUGUCUAACUCAACUAGAAGACCAAUAUAAACUGAACUGUCAUAUGGUGCUCUUUCUAAAGUGGCAUGGGGGAGAGAGAGCACAAGCACAAGGCAGAGGGGCAGAGUGUGAGGGAGAGAACAUCUUAAGCUGACUCCACGUUGAGCUGGGAGCCAGAGGUGGAGCUUGAUCUCAAGACCGUGGGAUCAGACCUGAGAUGAAACCAAGAGUCUGAGGCUCAAUUGACUACACCACCCAGGUGCCCCAAUAAAAAAUAUUUUUACUUCCA
rnacentral:lncRNA from 12 species